rnacentral:lncRNA from 10 species
GCUUUUUUACUGUUGAAUUCUGAGAGCUCUUCACAUAGCUCUUGAACCUGAAAAUAUACACCAAUGUUUUCUUCUAAAAGUUUUAUAGUUUUAACUCCAUGAUUCAUUUUCAGUUAAUUUUUGUUGAAAGUGUGAGACUUAGAUCAAGGCUCUUUGCAUUUGUUUGUUUAUUUGCUUAUGGAAUGGAUUCCCAAUUGUUUCAGUGUCAUUUGUUGAAAAGGCUCUUUCCCCCUUAUUUCCUUUUCACAUUUGUGAAAAAUUACUUGGGCAUAUUUGUGUGACUCAGUUUCUGGGUUCUCUAUUGUGUUCCAUUAAUCUCUAUGUUUAUUUCUCCACAGUACCAUACAGUCUUGAUUAUUGUAGGUAUAUAGUAAAUUUGAAAUCAAGUAAACUAUUCUUAAUUAUUUUCUUCAAAAUUGUUUUAGUUAUUCUAUGUACUUUGCCUUUCUAUACAAAUUUUACAAUAAUCUUGUCUAUAGCUAUAAAAAAUCUUUCUGGAUUUUGAUAGACAUUGUAUUCAUUCUUUUUUUUUUUUUCUUUUUUCUUUUU